GCGGUUCGGAAAGGUUGUUGAAGUUUCAGAAUUGUGCGGAGAUGCCGGGAGUCGCCGCUGCUUUCGUGUCCAUAGAGCACAGAGGCUAUGGAGGCGAUCAACAACAAAGCGCUGAUUGCCUGCGUUGCGGCUCGACCUGCGCUUUGGUAGCAGGCGAAACACAAGCGCCACUAGAACAAGCACUUGACGAGGUGGUCGUGGAUCGUCAUGCCCAACGCUGCCGAACAGAUGACGUUAUCACAGCGCUGCAGAAGUGAUGGAAGUCCCUGGGGAAUAAAUUUCGGUGCCUGGGAAGACGUUGUCAGAAAGGAAAGAGCCGCGCCGUGCCAGCUGUCGACGUUCACGUCAUCUGGCUGUUUUUCGACCAGAUGAUGUUUCUGCGCUACACAAUGGAGUGUAGACCGAUGUCCGCCAACCUUCCACCAGUGCCCCCAUCGAGUGAGGAGGGAAGUGCUGCAGACAUCUUAACAAAAAAUGUGCCAGUUUUCCUAUCUGGCAACACUUGAAGCGCCAUCACCGUGAAGUGAAGAGUCACAAGCGCCAGCAUCGACUCUGUCUUCGGCGUCGCAUGAGUCUGUGGAGUCUCAGGACAUUUUGGAAUCUCUUGAAUCACUGAUGUUUCAAGAAGUUCUGGUUCCUGAGGAUUCUGAGGCACACCACAGCAGUCCGCAGUCAGGAGCAUCGCUGGCUUCAGCAGGCAGUCGUAGGCUGGAUAUGUUAGGAAGCAUUGCUUCUGAAGCAAAGUCAAGGGGGAGGAAAAAGAAAAAAAAAGAUUAGAGUCAGUUAAUAUUGGAGGAAUUAGGCAAUGUUUCAAGUGCAAUCAAAAGAUGCAAACCACAGGACGACCUUGAACUUUUGCCGUCUCUCUGCUCAAACACAUUAGAGAGGUCAGUGAGGAUACGCAUCUCGACUUGAAAAUUAAAUUGAUGCAAGUAGGAGAGUAAUUCAAAGAUGAAUGUUUUUUAAUGUAUACUUUUUGUAUAAUAAAGCCAAGAGACAAUGAAACAAAAGGAAAUCAUUGAUGAAUUUAAUUGCUUUAUAUCGAAAUGGAAAAAUAAGGAGGAAAAUGAAAGUAUAUGAAAAGGUAGCUUCCCACUAAUGGGAGACGAACCCACAACCUUUGAAUUAUGCUUGCAUUGCUUUACCAGUAGAGCUGCAGCAAUGGCUAUCCCUCUACAAAUUUUCUUGGGCCUGUAUGUGCAUGUACUAGAUCUCACCCUGGUAGUGUUAGCCAGUGCUACUCGUGCAAGAACACUCCAAGAGCCUAAUCUGGUACACAUAAACAUUCUAUGAAAUUGAUGGUGGAAUAGCCUCCAGCUCAAUUGGUUUUGGUUUUAGCUUCCACCAGUGGCAACUUAUAUUUUCUCCACUUUCAUUUCCCUUCUCCUUGUGAUGUUGACAUUACAAAUAAGAUGACAGUUAUUUUCCUUUAUGCUUUAUAUACGUUUCUUUGUCUGUUGUUGUCAUGUCAAAUCCCCUCAGCUCUUCUUUUUUGUUCAUUUUACAUUGUGUUGUGUCCAUAUUUUUGUGCGGUAUUCAAGAAUUUCAUAAAGUUGAUAUCUGUGGGCCUGGUUGGCUGGCCAUUGCUGCUGUAGAGAUGUGUGAACAUGUUUUAGCAACACACCUACGAUAAAAAAGCACUGACUUGCAACUAAAGGUUUGUUGUUGCAAGACAGACGUUUAUCGCUUUCAUCUGUGUUUACUCAUUCAGCCUGUCUUGCAGCAAUGAACCUUUUUGAGUUCACCACCUGUGCAUGUAGAGUUUGUGCAUGCAUGUAGAGAUGCCUGUAAAUAAAAAGAAAUGUAAUGAACCUUCAAGCAGACCCCAUUGAAAAUUUCGGUUAUAUGCUGCAAGUUGUAAAGCCUGU